rnacentral:rRNA from 1 species
AGCAGUCGCGGUAAUUCCAGCUCCAAUAGCGUAUAUUAAAGUUGUUGCAGUUAAAAAGCUCGUAGUUGAAUUUUGGAUUCUUCCAAUUGGUCCAUCUUUUAGAUGAGUACUGGUUGUGUGGGGUCUAUCCGCCUGGUGAUACGUAAUGUCCUUUAUUGGAUGUUUCGGGUAGUCAGGACCUUUACCUUGAAAAAUUAGAGUGUUUAAAAGCAGGCUUAUGCCGGAAUACAUUAGCAUGGAAUAAUAGAAUAGGACGAAGUUGUUUUAUUUUGUUGGUUUCUAGGACAACCGUAAUGAUUAAUAGGGAUAGUUGGGGGCAUUAGUAUUCAAUUGUCAGAGGUGAAAUUCUUGGAUUUAUUGAAGACUAACUACUGCGAAAGCAUUUGCCAAGGAUGUUUCAU